GCCCCCGUAGCCCAAUCGGCAGAGGCAGGCGACUUAAACUCGCCGCAGUCUGGGUUCGAAUCCCAGCGGGGGCA
rnacentral:tRNA from 1 species